UACGUAGGGGGCGAGCGUUGUCCGGAAUCAUUGGGCGUAAAGAGCUCGUAGGCGGUUCAGCAAGUCGGCUGUGAAAUUCCGAGGCUCAACCUCGGAACUGCAGUCGAUACUGCUGUGACUCGAGUCCGGUAGAGGAGAAUGGAAUUCCCGGUGUAGCGGUGAAAUGCGCAGAUAUCGGGAGGAACACCAGUAGCGAAGGCGGUUCUCUGGGCCGGUACUGACGCUGGGGAGCGAAAGCGUGGGGAGCAAACAGG
rnacentral:rRNA from 1 species